CAGAGUUCAUGCCCUAACGGGUAGACCUCCCACCCUUGUGUAUUUAUACUUUGUUGCUUUGGCGAGCUGCUCUGGGCUUUACUGCCUAGAGCCCCAGGCUUUCGAGCUUGAGAGUCGUUCGCCGAAGGAAAAAUAAACCCUGAUAAUUUAUGUCGUCUGAGUACUAUAUAAUAGUUA
rnacentral:misc_RNA from 1 species